GUGGGGAAUAUUGGACAAUGGGCGAAAGCCUGAUCCAGCCAUGCCGCGUGUGUGAAGAAGGUCUUCGGAUUGAAAAGCACUUUAAGUUGGGAGGAAGGGCAGUUAGUUAAUACCUUGCUGUUUUGACGUUACCGACAGAAUAAGCACCGGCUAACUUCGUGCCAGCAGCCGCGGUAAUACGAAGGGUGCAAGCGUUAAUCGGAAUUACUGGGCGUAAAGCGCGCGUAGGUGGGUUUGUAAGUUGGAGGUGAAAUCCCCGGGCUCAACCUGGGAACUGCCUCCCAAACUGCAUGACUAGAGUACGGUAGAGGGUAGUGGAAUUUCCUGUGUAGCGGUGAAAUGCGUAGAUAUAGGAAGGAACACCAGUGGCGAAGGCGACUACCUGGACUGAUACUGACACUGAGGUGCGAAAGCGUGGGGAGCAAACAGGAUUAGAAACCCGAGUAGUCC
rnacentral:rRNA from 1 species